rnacentral:rRNA from 1 species
UGGGGAAUAUUGGACAAUGGGGGCAACCCUGAUCCAGCAAUGCCGCGUGUGUGAAGAAGGCCUGAGGGUUGUAAAGCACUAUCAGUGGGGAGGAGGCUUUAAUGGUUAAGAGCUGUUGAAGUGGACGUUACCCACAGAAGAAGCACCGGCUAACUCCGUGCCAGCAGCCGCGGUAAUACGGAGGGUGCGAGCGUUAAUCGGAAUUACUGGGCGUAAAGGGUGCGCAGGUGGUUUUGUAAGUUAUCUGUGAAAGCCCCGGGCUUAACCUGGGAAAGCCAGAUAAAACUACGAGACUCGAGUACGGGAGAGGGCAGUGGAAUUUCCGGUGUAGCGGUGAAAUGCGUAGAGAUCGGAAGGAACACCAGUGGCGAAGGCGGCUGCCUGGCCUGAUACUGACACUGAGGCACGAAAGCGUGGGGAGCAAACAGG